UCUAGAUGUUCCCCCAAGGCGUCAUGUACUUAUAGGUGGGGAUUUGGGAGGAUGACUGGAUCAUGGGUGUGUGAUUCUGGAUUAAUUCGCAGAUGGGUUUAUAGCUGCGUGUGAUGUUGGGAGCCAAAAUCUGGUGGGAAGAGGCGGGUCGUUGUGGGAGCGGCCUGGAAGGAAACACACAUGUGUAUCUGUCUCCAUCCCUCUUCCCUUGAUGGCUCUCCAGUUCCUGCCCGCCACACCAUGAACUGUUUCUCCUCUGCCAUGUCUCUGUGCCACCCUACCUUGGAGCCAUCAAACUAGGUAACUACUUUGAUGGCUGUACUUUCAUAACAACGUGAAUUAUUGAUGGUGCUAAAGGCACUUUUCCCAGGGAUCCCCAAGCACUACUUUGCUGAAAUCCACCAUCUUUAUUCACUUGUCUACAAAACUCCACGUGCUGAUUUGGCAAAGGAUCAUUUAGGAGCAGAGACACCUAAGUGUCCAGCAUGUGGACUCAGAAGUAAGCGUCUGCCUGUGGCUGUCACACUGGAAACUGGCUUGCCCUCACCUGGGCCCAGGGAGCAGAUGCGAGAGUCCUCCUAGGCUGGACCCAGCCCUCCUGGAUGGGAUGUGCUUUCAGAUGGGCCACCUAGCGCCAUCUCAUCCACCCUCCUAUUACUGGAGUUAGAGAGUUCAGAAAAAUGCUGAAGUAGGUACAUGAAACCAUUGUACAUUAAAUUGGAAGUGUCUUGAAAUAAUUAAAUUAUAAGAGAUUACUUUCUUAUGAUAAUGAUAAUAAUACAGCUUUUAUGCUGGGCCAGACACUGUUGUCAGUGCCGUAUGUGUAUUAUUUCAUUUAGUUCUCAUCAAAUGUGAGUUGUUAUUUCUACUUCACAAAGAAGGUGACUGAGGCAGAGGGAGAUUAUAUGGUUUGCCUCAUCACCAGUUAGUAAGAGGAGGAGCUGGGAUUCAAUCUCUGACAGUCUGACUCCAGGGUCUUCCCUAUCAUCAGACAAAAGGCUAAACCUGGGCGCCUCCCUCAGCCACCAGCACAUCCUGGAAGAGGCUCUCAGAAGGUCCUUCCAGAAGUGCCCUGCAUAUCAGCUUACAUUUGCUAAUGCUUUAUCCCUCCCUGCUCUGAAACUUAUUUUUUCUGAACAACAGCAGACCUCGGACGUCCUGGAAAGAGCUUUAAAAAUUACCUCCUGGCUUCAUAGUAAGAAUGAAAAUGAGCUAAGGGUUAGGGAGGUUGACCACCUUGCCUUACUGGAUCUCUAACAACCUGGGGUCAGCAACAUUCAGUGGCUUCCUUUUCAUUCUGACAUCUGAGCUUGAGUGUUUGCCUCUCUCCUAUGGCAGAUCAAAGACCUUAACUGCACCAGUCCACUCGGCAAUGUCCCAUGAUGGCCACCAGCCUUCUUUUCCCUUUUCUUCUCUCUCUAGCCUCUUUCUCCAAGAUCUUGCUUUGCAUUAGGUAACAAUGGAUAGAAAUCAGCUGACAGGAUAGACAGAGGUUCCUCAAACUUUGAUCAUUCUCGUGCAGUAUUCUUGUGCCACCUGUGUUAGAACUCAGUAUUUUAUCAAGCCAACUCAUUGUAUUAUUUACUAUAUUAUUUUUCAAUGAGCAUAUUAAGUUAACUCACUGUUAGGUCCUGCAUUUUACAUGCUAAUCAAAAUUUUUAGAAGACAUGUUAAAAUAAAUACAUAAGCAUUAAAAUUCAAAAAAUUAAUCCAUUACUAUCCAGUAGUGUAUACAAUUCACAUUUUGGGAGAAAUUGAAACCAAUCUUGCUAUGUCAGCUGGAUCAGAACUCCUCAAACUUAUCCAUGCAAAAGACAAGUUUUUAGAAAACUUUAAAAAUCUGUAAUAGAUUUGGUAAAAUAACAAUGGAUUUUUGUAAAAUGAAAAGGGCUGGGGAUGUAGCUCAGUGGAAAAGCAUUUGCCCUGCAUGUGUAAGGCAGUGAUUCAGUUCCCAGUAUGGGAGGAAGAAAGAAUGAAUGGAUGAAUAAAAGUGACUUUGUUUC